rnacentral:rRNA from 1 species
AUUGAACGCUGGCGGCAUGCCUUACACAUGCAAGUCGAACGGUAACAGGUUAAGCUGACGAGUGGCGAACGGGUGAGUAAUACAUCGGAACGUGCCCAGACGUGGGGGAUAGCUCGGCGAAAGCCGGAUUAAUACCGCAUGUGAUCUGAGGAUGAAAGCGGGGGACCGUAAGGCCUCGCGCGUUUGGAGCGGCGGAUGGCAGAUUAGGUAGUUGGUGGGGUAAAGGCUUACCAAGCCUACGAUCUGUAGCUGGUCUGAGAGGACGACCAGCCACACUGGGACUGAGACACGGCCCAGACUCCUACGGGAGGCAGCAGUGGGGAAUUUUGGACAAUGGGCGAAAGCCUGAUCCAGCAAUGCCGCGUGCAGGAUGAAGGCCUUCGGGUUGUAAACUGCUUUUGUACGGAACGAAAAGGCGCCUACUAAUACUGGGUGUUGAUGACGGUACCGUAAGAAUAAGCACCGGCUAACUACGUGCCAGCAGCCGCAGUAACAC